CCCCCCCGAAUUGUAGUCUAGAAAGGCGCCAUCGGCCGCGCCCGCCGCUCAAAUCCCUUGGAACAGGGUAUCGGAGAAGGUGAGAAUCCUGUACCGUGGCGGUCCGCGGCCGCACGAUGCGCCCUUGCAGAGUCGGGUUGCUUGGGAUUGCAGCUUGAAGUGGGUGGUAAAUUCCAUCUAAAGCUAAAUAUUGGCUCAUGACCGAUAGCGAACAAGUACCGUGAGGGAAAGAUGCAAAGAACUUUGAAAAGAGAGUUAAAGAGUGCUUGAAAUCGGCGAGAGGAAACCCGGUUGUGCCCGGUUUCGCGCCGUCGACUCAGCCGUCUCGAAGCGGUGCAUUUUGUCGGCGCGGGUCCUACGCGACUGCUGACUCGUUAUAACCACUCGGGGGGCCUUUGGUGAGCCGAGAUAUGACGCGUUGGUGGUCUCGUCGGACAUAACGGGCACAACCGACCCGUCUAGAAACACGGACCAAGGAGUCUGACACGGAUGCGAGUACCCGGGUGGCAAGCCCGCGUGCGCAAUGAAAGUAAAGGGCGUGCCCCGCCAACCGACCUUGAUCUUCUGUGAAGGGUUUGAGUCGAGCAUCACUGUCGGGACCCGAAAGAUGGUGAACUAUGCCUGAGGAGGUUGAAGUCUGCCGAAAGGCAGAUGGAGGGCCGUAGCGAUACUGACGUGCAAAUCGUUCGUCGAACUUGGGUAUAGGGGCGAAAGACUAAUCGAACCAUCUAGUAGCUGGUUCCCUCCGAAGUUUCCCUCAGGAUAGCUUGGACGCAAGGGUUUUGU
rnacentral:rRNA from 1 species